UCAAUAUUAAGAUCUUAGACAAUUUUUGCUUUAAAGAGUUUUUUGCUUCGGGAAGUGUCAAUAUCAAUCGGUGCUUUAGAUUAAUGAUAUGGGAAACACUCUAGUGUACAGAAAUUUGCGGCCUAGUGCAUAUCUCAAUACUUUUCUUGAAUAUUUAGAACGAAAACAACUUUUUGCACAUUCUUGAAAUCUUUUACAUACUUCAGCCAUGUUUAAAAAAUCUUCCAGUAUAUUCACUCGUCGAAAAAUAUCCUCGAUACAAUCGUUGUUCAAAACGUUUAAAAUAGUUUUUGUUGAGUUCUGUGUCGGUGGAAUAUCCAUGGUUGGCUAUCGGUCAUCAAAUCGUUGUUUCUCUUCUGAAAACUAUAUUAUUAAUAAUUUUAUUAACCCUCCAAUGCAUUAAUUUUUUUUCGACAUGAGACUUAUUUUUCUAUGAUUGUUUUGGUUUAUAAUUCCUUAAAAAAAUAAUCGAAAUUCAAAAAAUCGCAUGGUUUUCUCGAAAAAUGCUAUUGACAGAAUUCGAGAACAAUCAAAACCAUUGUUUAAACUGCAGUAAAACUGCUAUAAACAAAGAAAAUGAUAAUUUUUUUUGUCAAAUUUCUGUUUUCGAGUACAACCGUGUUUAUAAUUAAACAACCGAUUUACAUCCAGUUGUCAAAUGACCGGAAAAUGAAAGCCUGAACCCUACUGAAUGUAUUUUAAUUCAUAAAUAAAAUCUUUUUUUUUUUAAUUAUAUAUUUUAGACAAUAAUUUAUACACCAUGCCUAAAGGCAGGGAGGGCUAUGCACUAGAGGGUUAAUAUAAACUAGAAUAGAAACCAAUAAAAGCAGCAUUCAAUAGAUAAAUAUAUUGAUUCUUUUUAAAUCUAUUACAAUAAACGAAACUAUCACCUUAAUGAGGCAUCAAAAUUAGUA